CCUACGGGUGGCAGCAGUCGAGAAUCUUUCACAAUGGGCGAAAGCCUGAUGGUGCAACGCCGCGUGCAGGAUGAAGGCCUUCGGGUUGUAAACUGCUUUUCUAAGCGAGAAAUAUGAUGGUAACUUAUGAAUAAGAGUCGGCUAACUACAUGCCAGCAGCCGCGGUCAUACGUAGGGUCCGAGCAUUAUCGGGAGUGACUAUGGGUAAAGAGUUGCGGUGGGGGAAUUAUAAGUAGAUUGGGAAAUCUGGUGGCUCAAACAUUCAGACGAUUAGCUAAACUGUGAAGCUAGAGAACGUUAGGGGUAACGGGAAUUUUCGGUGUAGGAGUGAAAUGCGUAGAUAUUAGAAGGAACACUAAUAGCGUAGGCAGGUUGCUGGGACGGUUCUGACACUAAGGCACGAAGGCGUAGGGAGCAAAAGGGAUUAGAUACCCUAGUAGUC
rnacentral:rRNA from 1 species